AGUGAACGCUGGCGGUAGGCCUAACACAUGCAAGUCGAACGGCAGCACAGUAAGAGCUUGCUCUUACGGGUGGCGAGUGGCGGACGGGUGAGGAAUACAUCGGAAUCUACUUUUUCGUGGGGGAUAACGUAGGGAAACUUACGCUAAUACCGCAUACGACCUACGGGUGAAAGCAGGGGAUCUUCGGACCUUGCGCGAUUGAAUGAGCCGAUGUCGGAUUAGCUAGUUGGCGGGGUAAAGGCCCACCCAGUCGACGAUCCGUAGCUGGUCUGAGAGGAUGAUCAGCCACACUGGAACUGAGACACGGUCCAGACUCCUACGGGAGGCAGCAGCGGGGAAUAUUGGACGAUGGGCGCAAGCCUGAUCCAGCCAUACCGCGUGGGUGAAGAAGGCCUUCGGGUGGUAAAGCCCAUUUGUUGGGAAAGAAAAGCAGCAGGUUAAAACCCCGCUGUUCUGACGGUACCCAAAGAAUAAGCACCGGCUAACUUCGUG
rnacentral:rRNA from 1 species